rnacentral:rRNA from 1 species
GACGAACGCUGGCGGCGUGCCUAAUACAUGCAAGUUGAGCGCUGAAGGUUGGUACUUGUACCGACUGGAUGAGCAGCGAACGGGUGAGUAACGCGUGGGGAAUCUGCCUUUGAGCGGGGGACAACAUUUGGAAACGAAUGCUAAUACCGCAUAAAAACUUUAAACACAAGUUUUAAGUUUGAAAGAUGCAAUUGCAUCACUCAAAGAUGAUCCCGCGUUGUAUUAGCUAGUUGGUGAGGUAAAGGCUCACCAAGGCGAUGAUACAUGGCCGACCUGAGAGGGUGAUCGGCCACAUUGGGACUGAGACACGGCCCAAACUCCUACGGGAGGCAGCAGUAGGGAAUCUUCGGCAAUGGACGAAAGUCUGACCGAGCAACGCCGCGUGAGUGAAGAAGGUUUUCGGAUCGUAAAGCUCUGUUGGUAGAGAAGAACGUUGGUGAGAGUGGAAAGCUCAUCAAGUGACGGUAACUACCCAGAAAGGGACGGCUAACUACGUG